CCGGGCUGCAGGCAGACGUCGCGCUCACGGCCGGGCAGCAGGAGCUGUCACCCCUGUUUCGGAGCCGUGGCUGUGAAUUUUAUAGCCUGGGUCGGGGAUUUAGCAAAUCCAGAGCUGAUCAGGUGCCUGAGGGACUGUACCAUACUGUACAUAGGCCCCUCGCUGGGCCGCCCUUUGUCUCAACGAGCUUGCAUGUCGUCUCCAAUUCCUGUGACGCCGGUAGGUUUGGGAAUAUUCGGGUUCCUUUUCUUGAACCACGCGCUCUUCUCGGUCUUCACGCAAGCCAGGUGUCCACCAUGGGUUAUUUUUGUUGUUAGGGUAUUUCUUUUAACUGUUUACUGUGUGGGCUGUGUGCUCCUGGGUACCGCGCCUGGUCGUGAGGUGGAGGAAAGGUCCGUGCAGAAGUGCCCCAAUAGCCAAAACUAGUAUUUAAACCCACGUGUCCCCCCCCCAAAAAAAAUGGGGGUACUGAUUUAUUCGGGUUUUAUGUUUGCUGUAGAAAUGGUAGCACACAUUUUUUAGCAGAGGUUGGCAAAGUGAUGAGCCAAAGUGCUUUCUGACCCGUGUUUCGGAGCUUUUGGGUUGGCUGGUUGGGUUUAGGGUACUUUUGAUGAUGUGUUUUUGUUUGUUUUUCUUCCUUUCUGUUUUGUUUUCCAAACAAAAUAAACGUCUCCUCUUCCAAGCA